rnacentral:rRNA from 1 species
UACGUAGGUGGCAAGCGUUGUCCGGAUUUAUUGGGUUUAAGGGGUGCGUAGGCGGCUUUGUAAGUCAGUGGUGAAAUAUGGCAGCUCAACUGUCAGGGUGCCAUUGAUACUGCGGAGCUUGAGUACAGAUGAGGUAGGCGGAAUUGACGGUGUAGCGGUGAAAUGCUUAGAUAUCGUCAAGAACACCGAUAGCGAAGGCAGCUUACUGGGCUGUAACUGACGCUGAGGCACGAAAGUGUGGGGAUCAAACAGG